GAAAAGGGGCUCCUGUCCAGGAGGGCAUGAAAAAGGGGCAAAGGGAGAGGUUGGUGAAAGGCCCAGAGGGAGGAGGUGAAAGAAGAGGAGACACUAGCCCUCAGGUAGCUAAGUGGAGACUGUACCCCAAGCCAGGUAGGGUGAUGCUGCUGGCCUAGAGGAGGGCAGAAAGAGAAAGGACAGGAGGGGGCAGGCUGGAUGGUGUGCAGGGCUGUAGUGAGCCCCAGGAAUGGGUGGUGACAAAGCUUCUUUGGCUGAGGUACUCAACUCUAGGUGUGCAGAGAACCCAUGGAGUACCUUCUGGUGGCUGUAAGUACAGACAGGAUGUCCACAGGAUGGGAAA